UAGUCCACGCCGUAAACGAUGGAUGCUAGCCGUUGGCGGGUUUACUCGUCAGUGGCGCAGCUAACGCUUUAAGCAUCCCGCCUGGGGAGUACGGUCGCAAGAUUAAAACUCAAAGGAAUUGACGGGGGCCCGCACAAGCGGUGGAGCAUGUGGUUCAAUUCGAAGCAACGCGCAGAACCUUACCGGCCCUUGACGUGUCCCGUAUGGGUUUCAGAGAUGAGACCCUUCAGUUCGGCUGGCGGGAAC
rnacentral:rRNA from 1 species